GUGGGGAAUAUUGGACAAUGGGCGCAAGCCUGAUCCAGCCAUGCCGCGUGAGUGAUGAAGGCCCUAGGGUUGUAAAGCUCUUUCACCGGUGAAGAUAAUGACGGUAACCGGAGAAGAAGCCCCGGCUAACUUCGUGCCAGCAGCCGCGGUAAUACGAAGGGGGCUAGCGUUGUUCGGAAUUACUGGGCGUAAAGCGCACGUAGGCGGACAUUUAAGUCAGGGGUGAAAUCCCGGGGCUCAACCCCGGAACUGCCUUUGAUACUGGGUGUCUGGAGUAUGGAAGAGGUAAGUGGAAUUCCGAGUGUAGAGGUGAAAUUCGUAGAUAUUCGGAGGAACACCAGUGGCGAAGGCGGCUUACUGGUCCAUUACUGACGCUGAGGUGCGAAAGCGUGGGGAGCAAACAGGAUUAGAUACCCCUGUAGUCC
rnacentral:rRNA from 1 species